AAGCCCAUGACAUGGGCAUAAUCUCAACAAAAUUUUAUAACGCUCUCAUGUGUCAAAUAAGGACUCUCCAUCCUCUGGCCUAAAAUUGUUGAUUUCAUUCCUCACUU